ACAUCCAGUCUGGAGCCGCUGCCGAAAGUCCAUCACAGUGAUACAAACUAAUAGAGCAGCUGCACAAAAGCCUCUGCACGCUUCAGCAGCUGCGCUGUUCACUGCAUCUACACAAAAACUGUUUUACUUCUACUUGCUAUUUUCUUCAAAUACCAGUAAAAUUAGAAAUUACAUUUUUAAAAAUGUUUAAUUUCACACUUAAACAUUCUAAACUCCAGCUGAUUCACUGAUGGUAAACUACUCAAUGUUAAUGAAAUAUCAUCAGCAUGUCCUAGCAAACUCUUGAGAAAUAUCAGCUGAUCCUGAUAGGAAGUCUUCGUAUUUGUGAAAAACAAAACAAAACAAAACAAAACAUUUGAUAACAGUUUAAUCUGAAUUUAUUUUAAAAUUCAAAAGUGACACAGAUGUGACAUUUUGUCUGCGCCAUCCCUCUGUUUAAGACUGACUGUCAUCGAUCAGGACUGAAAACAGCAGCUCUCGUCUGUUCUCUCUCGAUCCUAGCAAAGAUGACUGCAAACGCUCUGAUGUUCUGCUCUCUACUGCUUUCUCUUCCUGGUUGUUCAGCUGAGAGUCCAUCAGUGGAUUCGGUGUCUGUGGGAAGCAGAGUCACUCUCAACUGCAGGUCCAGCAGUGCUAGUUUUACAUCCAGUUUAGCCUGGUAUCAUCAGAAACCCAGCCAAACACACAAACUCCUGUUCUAUAGUGUUGGUAGCAAAGUGUCUGGAGUUUCUGAGAGAUUCACUGAUGGGAGAUCAGGAACAAACUUCAUGCUUAAUAUCAGAAAUGUCCAGUCUGAAGACGCAGGAGAUUAUUACUGUCAACAGUAUUAUGAGCUACCACGAACACAGUGAUACAGAGCCGU